rnacentral:rRNA from 1 species
CGUGUAGGCGGGCAGACAAGUCGGACGUGAAAUUUUUCCGCUUAACGGAGAAACCGCGUUUGAAACUAUCUGUCUUGAGUACGGGAGAGGAAAGUGGAAUUCCUGGUGUAGCGGUGAAAUGCGUAGAUAUCAGGAGGAACACCUGUGGCGAAGGCGAGCUUCUAUCAGAGGACUGACGCUGAGGCGCGAAAGCGUGGGGAGCAAACAGGAUUAGAUACCCUGGUAGUCCACGCUGUAAACGAUGUGCACUAGGCGUGGGGCACGUACGUGUUCUGUGCCGUAGUUAACGUGAUAAGUGCACCGCCUGGGGAGUAUGCUCGCAAGGGUGAA